rnacentral:sRNA from 1 species
CCUGACGGGAUCGCCUAAUCCAACUUAAACCAAAGCAAAACCAGUGGUCCAGCAACUGAGUAUUUGUGUUUAUUGGGUCCCUGGGAGUCUGCGAUAGAAUUAUAGGCUUUUAAGUCAUUAGUGGAACCCUAAAGAACAAGGGUGAAGGAAAGGGGUGGGUAGAGGGUCCAAAGUACACGGAUGAGACAGUUGUUAUUAAAUGUGGCACGUUUUCAAGGUCUAUAAACUACCUGUCCGUCUCCUGAGCAAGGUGGGUUGCACCUGUCAAACAGACGAACUAAAUAAAAACGUCAGGAAAUGGGAUACUGUACAGGCCAUUCUGCAGCCGGGCGAGCUGCCGCUUGGUGUCUACACGCCAGGCAGCGUUACUGCUUCUCUAUUGGUACCAGAAGUGCUUGGUGGAGCUCCGUGGCUGUACUAUCUGAAAGAAGGCCGCUUGGAGCAAGGCCCUCGGCCUAGUGGGGAUUUCCUUCCCUUUGCCUCAGCGGCUUCAGGUGCAGUCUUUGCCCAUAGCAAGUUGACUGGAGGCAGUAGCAUCGAGUAUCAGGUUAAGAGGAGCCUUCUUCAGGCCAGCUCUCUGGCAUGUCAUGUGACCGUCUGACAACUCCACUGCCUUAUUCCUUGGGGCAGGUCUCAGGGUCAGUCAAUAUCAAAUCAGAGGGUUUUCGUGACCCCUCCCACCUUGCAUGACUCCUCCCACUUUGCAUGACUCCUCCCACUGUGCAUUCAGCCCAGCAACUGUACAAAAACAAAAAUAGGGAACACUUCAGGCAACGUGGUAAAGGGAUUUAGGGUUAAAGGCAUGAUUUGAGUGGAGGAAGGGAGGGUGUUGGUGGUUAGAAUGGUGCCCCCCCCCCCAGCCUAGGGACAUCUCAAUGGCUCCCCGAAGGUUAAGUUUUUUUGAGAGGUGUUCUGCACCUCUCUAAUGUGGAAUUGCUUUCUGGGAGGUCAGCAGUGCUGUGAUAAAAGCCCAUUUGGAAAAAAAAAAAUCAAUCUGAAACAUUAAAGUGGAAAUAAUUCCAUGCUCAGCUAUAGAAAGUAGGAAACACAUUUCACUGAUGAAAAGCUUUUAAACAUAAUAUAGACCUUCAUUUCCUAAUCCAUAAAGUGAGAGGUUUGGAUCAGGCGACCUUGAAGGUCAUUUGUCCCCCUUUGUUUUGGUUUUAGGAGUCUUAAACUCCCUCUUGCAUAUUUUUAAGAGUCUCAGGGGUUGGGGUUUGUUUACAUAUCUCUGAUUUUUUUUUCUCUGUUCACUCACCAUUUCCAUCUGCAUUUCUAACUUGGAUAAGUAUGUCUCCGUGUGUGGGGUGAGUUGUGGUAAACCCCGCUGCUAAGCAUAUAUAGCCAAGAUCCCUUCCAUUUUUAAUACGCUAUGAUUUUCAUAAUGCCUGCGCUUGUUUUCCCCGUCUGAAAAAUAGAAGCAGUAAUUCCUGCAUCUCUCCUUCUCCAACUGCUGAGUCGUGGGUAUUUGGAAUAUUGGAUGUAAAUAAUGGUGUGGAAGCUCCCGGGUGCCCUGCGUUCUUGGAGCUCUGCUCUAGACUGUGACAACCCUGGAAUACCUAAGCGUUCCAGCUUUUAUCGCCACCCGACCUUCCUGUCUCCAAGCACGCACACGGCCCAGCCCUGCCACCCUUCCUCAAGUGCGGAACCCUCAGUUUUUAACAAAGAGAAAGGGCGUUCUCGUGCAUUCUUUAUUAAGCUCCUCGUGGUGAUCAGGAUGAAGUGAGCAGUCAGCCAAUCCAUUCCUGACUGCGAGUGUUCACCGGAUGCAUGAGGAGCCCACCAGGGUCCUGGUAGUCAUGGAAACUCUGUGAUGUCAUCAAGCGAGCGCCUUCCAGUGAGAGGAUGCAGCCCAUGGAGGACAACGGACAGUGAGCGGGGUCUCUAUGCCUGCCUCUUCUAUGUUUGGUUUCCCCGUGUUUACGAAUUGCCAUCGAAUGUGAAAAAUGAGUGAUCAGACAAUACUUGUUAAGCCAUUAAACAGAUGAGCCAAACAAGGUCCUACUGGCUAUCAUUUGUGGUAGAGAUAGGAUCUCUACCAAGGUUACUCUGCUUGAAGAUCCGGGUUCUUAUCAGGUGCCGUGCCUAAUGCCCUGUGAAUUUUUCUCAUCUACUUAAAAUGGCAGCCCUCUAAGACAGUUAUCUUUGACUUGCAGCUCUGCUCCAGGAAGUCCAUCACCUUGUACAAGCUCUUGCUACACGUGCUGAGGGCACUGGGACCCGUCUUCCUUCACAGUUUGGCUUUCUCACCAAACAGCCAAGGUGUCCCCUUCGCAGCAAGGAAACAUGCUGGCUCCUGCUCUAAGUAGGCUAGCUCUCUGGCGUUCUGUGUGGCUUUUGACUUCAUGCACUUGAGCCCCGGGAACAUCUCUACAGACCGGUGUGCUACUUUUCAAGACAGGCGCCAUGUACUCAGCAUCUCUCUGUCCUUCUGGCAGAGCCUGCUGCUCAGUUGGGGUGACGGCAUCAUCAGUCACCCGUAUGGUGCGAGCUGCAGCUGGCACGGCCAUAUGGGUGCGCUGAAAGUUCUGAAUAACGGCAGGGAGCUUUGUCGGAUCGUUCGGAAAGCUGGAGUAUGGGACCAGGAGUCCCUUGGCACAGGGGAACUUCUAGUCAGAUCCUCUGCCAUCUCCACUAUCCUUCUGAACUUAGUAAGCUGUACCUCGCGGCAAAGUAGGAGAAAUAAAUGUAUGCGUGGCGGAACUUAUGAGCAAAACCACUGCAGCAAAACCCAGCUCAAA